CCUACGGGAGGCAGCAGUGGGGAAUAUUGCGCAAUGGGGGCAACCCUGACGCAGCCAUGCCGCGUGAAUGAAGAAGGCCUUCGGGUUGUAAAGUUCUUUCGGUAGCGAGGAAGGCACUUAGUUUAAUAAACUAGGUGAUUGACGUUAACUACAGAAGAAGCACCGGCUAACUCCGUGCCAGCAGCCGCGGUAAUACGGAGGGUGCGAGCGUUAAUCGGAAUAACUGGGCGUAAAGGGCACGCAGGCGGUGACUUAAGUGAGGUGUGAAAGCCCCGGGCUUAACCUGGGAAUUGCAUUUCAUACUGGGUCGCUAGAGUACUUUAGGGAGGGGUAGAAUUCCACGUGUAGCGGUGAAAUGCGUAGAGAUGUGGAGGAAUACCGAAGGCGAAGGCAGCCCCUUGGGAAUGUACUGACGCUCAUGUGCGAAAGCGUGGGGAGCAAACAGGAUUAGAUACCCUGGUAGUC
rnacentral:rRNA from 1 species